rnacentral:rRNA from 1 species
ACUCAAAUGAAUUGACGGGGGCCCGCACAAGCGGCGGAGCAUGUUGCUUAAUUCGAGGCAACGCGAAGAACCUUACCUGGGCUUGACAUGUAGGGAAAAGCUCUAGAGAUAGAGUGUCCUUAGGGGCCCUAUACAGGUGGUGCAUGGCUGUCGUCAGCUCGUGUCGUGAGAUGUUGGGUUAAGUCCCGCAACGAGCGCAACCCUUGUCCUAUGUUGCCAGCGGAUCAUGCCGGGGACUCGUAGGAGACUGCCGGGGUCAACUCGGAGGAAGGUGGGGACGACGUCAAGUCAUCAUGCCCCUUACGUCCAGGGCUGCAAACAUGCUACAAUGGCCGGUACAAAGGGCUGCGAGACCGCGAGGUUGAGCGAAUCCCAAAAAGCCGGUCUCAGUUCGGAUUGAAGUCUGCAACUCGACUUCAUGAAGCCGGAGUCGCUAGUAAUCCCGGAUCAGCAACGCCGGGGUGAAUACGUUCCCGGGCCUUGUACACACCGCCCGU